rnacentral:rRNA from 1 species
GACGAACGCUGGCGGCGUGCUUAACACAUGCAAGUCGAACGGUAAGGCCCUUCGGGGUACACGAGUGGCGAACGGGUGAGUAACACGUGGGUGAUCUGCCCUGCACUUCGGGAUAAGCCUGGGAAACUGGGUCUACUACCGGAUAGGACCACUGCCUGCAUGGGUGGUGGUGGAAAGCUUUUGCGGUGUGGGGUGGGCCCGAGGCCUAUCAGCUUGUUGGUGGGGUGAUGGCCUACCAAGGCGACGACGGGUAGCCGGCCUGAGAGGGUGACCGGCCACACUGGGACUGAGAUACGGCCCAGACUCCUACGGGAGGCAGCAGUGGGGAAUAUUGCACAAUGGGCGCAAGCCUGAUGCAGCGACGCCGCGUGAGGGAUGACGGCCUUCGGGUUGUAAACCUCUUUCAGCACCGACGAAGCGCAAGUGACGGUAGGUGCAGAAGAAGGACCGGCCAACUACGUGCCAGCCGCCGCCGUAA